GAAGGUCUUCGGAUUGUAAAGCACUUUAAGUUGGGAGGAAGGGCAGUAAGCGAAUACCUUGCUGUUUUGACGUUACCGACAGAAUAAGCACCGGCUAACUCUGUGCCAGCAGCCGCGGUAAUACAGAGGGUGCAAGCGUUAAUCGGAAUUACUGGGCGUAAAGCGCGCGUAGGUGGUUCGUUAAGUUGGAUGUGAAAUCCCCGGGCUCAACCUGGGAACUGCAUCCAAAACUGGCGAGCUAGAGUAGGGCAGAGGGCGGUGGAAUUUCCUGUGUAGCGGUGAAAUGCGUAGAUAUAGGAAGGAACACCAGUGGCGAAGGCGACCACCUGGGCUCAUACUGACACUGAGGUGCGAAAGAGUGGGGAGCAAACAGGAUUAGAUACCCUGGUAGUCCACGCCGUAAACGAUGUCAACUAGCCGUUGGAAUCCUUGAGAUUUUAGUGGCGCAGCUAACGCAUUAAGUUGACCGCCUGGGGAGUACGGCCGCAAGGUUAAAACUCAAAUGAAUUGACGGGGGCCCGCACAAGCGGUGGAGCAUGUGGUUUAAUUCGAAGCAACGCGAAGAACCUUACCAGGCCUUGACAUCCAAUGAACUUUCCAGAGAUGGAUUGGUGCCUUCGGGAACAUUGAGACAGGUGCUGCAUGGCUGUCGUCAGCUCGUGUCGUGAGGUGUUGGGUUAAGUCCCGUAACGAGCGCACCCGUGUCCUUAGUUACCAGCACGUUAUGGUGGGCACUCUAAGGAGACUGCCGGGGACAAACCGAGGAAGGCGGGACACGAAGG
rnacentral:rRNA from 1 species